GAAUUUCCGGUGACGUCGCUGCGCAGCGAGCCCAUAACAGGUCUGCAGCUGUCUGAGAGCAACAAUAACAAGACGAGCUAAGCGGUCCGAAGGGGUUUUAUACCUCGACAUACGAUUAAGGCACUACUUACAGCAGAAAUCGAACCAAAUACAGGCAAAUAUGUGGUUGUCGAAAUAACUCUGGCCUAGGCUUCUUUAUUCCCCGACUCGGUGGGACGUCGUUGGGCACCGCGGAAGAAACGACCGAGAUUCGGUCCUACGAGGAGUAGCGGAGCUCUGGGCUGCAACUGGGUCAGUGGGCCUCUCGGUUGUUAAGUUGGGGAUCUCUGUUUCCCCAUUUCCCCGUAGUACCUUCCGUUCUUUUGGAUCCGCAUAUUGUCACCCGUAUAACAUACACCAGUACCAUGCAGGCCAACGGGGCAGGACAGGACCCAGGUUCAGAGCUGUCCUGCCGUACCAGUGCGCAGAACGGCGAGGGGUCGUCCGCUGGGGGAGCUCACGCCAAUGGACUCGUCUCAGUCACAAACAAUGGAAACUCUGUCACUGACAACAACGGCCUGUCGGACCAAGCCGAGGAGUCCAACAACGCCAACGACGUCAAUUCCACCGUGAAGAAGAAGAAGCGUCUCUCGCAGUCCGAGGAAGACGUCAUCAGGCUAAUAGGGCAGCAUCUCCACGACCUGGGGCUGAAUCAAACGGUAGACAUGCUCAUGCAGGAGUCGGGCUGUCGCCUGGAGCAUCCCUCCGCCACCAAGUUCAGGAAUCACGUCAUGGAAGGAGAGUGGGACAAGGCUGAGAGUGACCUGAAUGAGCUGAAGGCAUUGAUGCAUUCUCCCAGUGCAAUCGUGCGUAUGAAGUUUCUGCUGCUGCAGCAGAAGUAUCUGGAGUACCUGGAGGACGGCAAGGUUCUGGAGGCCCUGCAGGUUCUCCGGGCUGAGCUCACGCCCCUGCAGUACAACACAGAGCGGAUCCACGUCCUGAGCGGAUACCUGAUGUGCAGCAACGCUGAGGACCUGAAAGCUAAAGCCGAGUGGGAAGGCAAGGGCAGCCCCUCCCGUACGAAGCUGCUGGACAAACUACAGACCUACCUGCCUCCCUCGGUGAUGCUUCCCCCCCGCAGGCUGCAGAACCUGCUGCGUCAGGCAGUGGAGCUGCAGAGAGAACGCUGUCUCUACCACAACACUAAGAUGGACAGCGGCAUGGACGCCGUCUCCCUGCUCCUCGACCACGCCUGCAGCAGGAAACAGUUCCCCUGCUACACCCAGCAGGUCCUCACUGAGCACUGCAACGAGGUGUGGUUCUGCAAGUUCUCCACCGACGGCACCAAGCUGGCCACGGGAUCCAAAGACACGACAGUGAUCGUAUGGCAGGUUGACCCCGAGAGCCACCAGCUGAAACUGUUGAAGACCCUGGAGGGACACGCUUACGGUGUGUCCUACUUGGCGUGGAGCCCCGACGAUGUCUACUUGAUCGCUUGUGGCCCGGAUGACUGCUCUGAGCUUUGGCUGUGGAAUGUACAGACAGGGGAGCUGCGGACCAAGAUGAGCCAGUCUCACGAGGACAGCCUGACCAGCGUUGCCUGGAAUCCAGAUGGCAAGCGCUUCGUCACGGGGGGCCAGAGAGGCCAGUUCUACCAGUGUGACCUGGAUGGGAACCUGCUGGACUCGUGGGAGGGCGUGCGUGUCCAGUGCCUGUGGUGCCUCGGCGACGGCAGGACCGUGCUCGCGUCCGACACGCACCAGCGCAUCCGCGCCUACAACUUUGAGGACCUGACGGACAGAAACAUAGUGCAAGAGGACCAUCCAGUUAUGUCUUUCACUGUCUCCAAGAACGGGAGGCUAGCACUGCUGAACGUUGCUACUCAGGGAGUCCACUUAUGGGACCUGCAGGACCGUGUGCUUGUGAGAAAGUAUCAAGGUGUGACCCAAGGAUUCUACACCAUCCAUUCCUGCUUUGGAGGACACAAUGAAGACUUUAUUGCCAGUGGAAGUGAAGACCACAAAGUUUACAUAUGGCACCGGCGCAGCGAGCUGCCCGUCGCAGAGCUGUCGGGCCACACACGCACUGUCAACUGUGUGAGCUGGAACCCCGUUGUGCCGGGCCUGCUGGCCAGCGCCUCCGACGACGGGACAGUCCGGAUCUGGGGGCCCGCCCCUUUCCAGGACGUCCAGGACACAGAUGGGCCGAAUGUACUCUUUUGGAAAUGGCAUAAGCAGCAAGCAAAUCGAGAAAGCUGCGUAACGAGUUCUUCACUCGCCUGGAUAUUAUGAAACGAGGCAAACAGGUUUUGCUUGUUUCAAUCUGAAGCAGUCCACAAUACUCCCAACAACCAAAGAAAUUAAAAAGCAGUAGCAUGGACAGCUGAUGGUUGGCACCCAUCUUGAGGACCUGCUUUUCCCCUUGACGUCACGGGUAGGGAGAGAGCGUCGAGACUCCGUUAAAGACUCUUGAAGCUAAGAGACCUUUUUUUUUUUUUUUACAGCUGCCUCCCGGAGGCAGGGCCACUGGUGCUGUUAGCUGGGCCGUGACAUCACACGGAGAUGUCAAAAAGUACAAGAAGAAAAACAAAAAGAAAGAGUCAAGCCCAUUCAAGUCGGAAGCCUGGGUAAGCAGGAAUCUAAAAAACGGCAUCAGGCGCCACCUCCUGUCUGGCAUUUGGUCCCUUUCCCUCUAAAUGAACCACCCAUCUACCAUCGAUCCACCUUUCAGAAUUAUUUAUUAUCGAUGAUAUUAUUUAUUCUCCUGAUUAAUCCCUUGAGUGGUUCACGUUGGCUGCUGAGUAGCAGUGCGUGGCGCAGGUGUUUUUUCGUCGCAACCUCAUUUGUUGUUCUGAGAUUCAUCGCUGGCAGCGACUCAAUGGCACGGCCAUCCUGGCUUUUCCCCCCACCUCUAUCCAACGGGAGAGAGAGAUUUUAAUUGGAUGUAAUACUCCCUGAAGAAAAUCGUUGAAAACCUUAUUUUAAUGUUUUUGUGCAUUUUAACCCUAGUCAUUUGUUGAAUUUUGUGUGAUUUAGCAUUCUUUUUUUUGAAGGGGAUUGGGGCUGGGGUUGGGGGAGUUAACGUGAGUAUAAGGUAUAACAAAUCUGCAGAAGAGCUCCAAUCUGGGUUAACGGGUCAUUCCACUUUCUUUUGCCUCAAAUUUAUUACAACCAAUCAUGUUGCUCGAUGCUGGGAUUUGCAGCCAUGGACUACAUGAAAUGGAUCACUACUGGAAACAACCUUACCAGCGGAAACACAACAAACGUGAUAUGGCUGAACAUUGAUCUUGGAUCUAGAAGAGGAUUGAUAACUUCAACGAAAGAAUCGUUGUCGUAUCCCUCCUUGGACAACAGUGAACACAAACUCUGCAGCAAACUCAUCUUAUCUGCCAACUGGUUGUCGGUCAAGCUAAAAUGUCCUGUCCAGACACCAACCUCCUUAGACAAAGUGUCUGGAAAGUUUAAAGAUCGAACCUGUGUAGUGUACUGGCUACUGGAGGAAUACAUUUGUUUCUUGCCCCCUGAUGAGUUUCCCUUUGGAAGAAUAGCUCCGUUAAACACAUGACACACCGGCCCUCACCCUCUCUGGGUUCCCAGAAGUCCGGCUAUAGCGUAGUUGAAGUUCUGGAUCCGAGAUUAGGUGAGCGGUUCCGUGCCGUGUUUUACAGCAGUGUUGUAUGUCUGUGAUAUACCUGUUGAAGCAUGUACAGUGGGUUUAGCUUCCUUCUAAGAGUUAUUUAGGAGCUGUCGCUGUCGUCGUGGAAUAUAAAAAGAGCUAUAAUUGGAAAAGGAUGAUCUGUUUUUACUCGGCUGUUAACCUUACCCUCUGCACUGUGGGGUUGGCUAUUUAUGAUAAUGCUGUUUUGUCAUCCUGGUCUGUUUGUGAGCCAUAGUACUUCCCUCGUCAUCAUCACCCCUGACACUUUCUCCUUGCCUUCGGUGAGUGUGUAUGUGUGCCCUUCCUCCAACAACAUCUUUUUAUUUUGCUUGUGUCUUUCUCGUUCUCCUCAUUUACAGGAUUUUAUUUGUAUUUUUAAUCACAAGAUGUCUGUGUUAAACUUAUAUAAUGUAUUGAAAUCUUUAUCACAUUUAGAUGGCCACAUUCAUUUCAUCAGUCAUCGUCUCCACUCAGGUGGAGUUAAAUAGCAUCAGUUGAUCACAUUGCACAUUUGGUACACGUGUGUCAUUCCUAUAUAUGAAUUUGUACAAAGUGGGUCCCUUAGGAGAUUGAGACCCACAGCCCUACCAGUUAUGGUGUUCUUUGUAGUAUGUGCUGUAUAUUUCUAUGUUAUGGCAUGUAUUAUGAGGCUGCUGCUGUUGCAGGCAGAUCUUCACUGCAUUAGAAAAUGUGCCUGCUCAGAGGGCAUACGAGCCACCAGCAAUCUGUCACUGAACAUUACACACAUUAGUGGUACACACAAAAGGUAGACGUACCUGCAUACAAUAUCAAACACUAAAAGAAUCACAGAUAUGGUGUACUAGGUUGUGCUUAUGCAAGGUUUCUUUUUAUGUUUACUUUAGAAUAAUUUGGGGGCUACAUGUGUUUUUUCUUUCCUUUGUGGUAAGCGUUAUUGGCAAAAGCUUAAAAAAUGACAUUCGUGGUCAGGUUUGCAAGAAUUCAUUUUACAUUUAAAUGUAUUAAUUAAAUGAUUGUACUGUUACGUAUUGUGUAGGAGAAGUGUUAUGUAUGCAUAUUUUCAAUAAAGCAUUCAGGGUUUUAAAGUGUGUUAAAAACACAUAAUUAAGUGUCCACUCGUGUUGGUCGACGGUGCCAUCCGACUAUCCAUUUAGGGUUUUGAAUGCACAUGCCAUUUUGAGUGGUCAUGAAUUUCACAAUCACUCCGCUCUAAUUUGCAGGCUGCAUCUGUUUGAACAUAUAAAUCAAACAAAACGAUUCAAUCUCACAUUCAAAUUUAUUAAACUCCAAAUGGUGAACUGUUGUGAGCCAAUUACAAAUGGGAAUGAACUUGAACAAUUGAAGAACACUGCAGAUCAGUUCAAGCAGUCAGUUAUAGUCUCAACAAAACACCCGCAGGUCUGUGAAUACUGAUGCUUAGCGUGUAGAUUCUAUUUCACACUCCCAAGGUCACUAAUGAGUCGAUAAGAAAACACUGGAGUGCAUUUAAGUUUUCUUAAUUGGAUGUGUAUUCCCCUGAGAAACCUUUGAAUGUCAGAUGAAUCUGCCAAUGAUUGGGAUUUGAAGACAUUCACAUUCACCCACACCGUUUGAUUAUAAUCAGGUCAUUCGGAAAGCCUUUACGUCAACCCACUAUAUAGCCUCACUAUAUUCAUAAAGUAGAAACCGCUCCAUACACUGAACCACUUCUUUCCUGUAUAUAAAAAAAUAAUUUAAAUAACAAACCAUAUGGGUAAAAAAUUAA